rnacentral:misc_RNA from 1 species
UUUCCGUAGGUGAACCUGCGGAAGGAUCAUUAACAAAAGUAUGAGAGUGCACUUCAUUGUGGCUCCAAUCUUUUAACCAACCCUUCAAAUGGCCUCUGUUCAUGUUGAUGAUAAGUUGACAUGUUUCAUUGGCAAAAGCUGAUAGAGUAAAAUCUUGAAGCAUUACCCCCCCAUUAACUUUAUAAUUCUAAACCAAGUGUAUAAAGAAUGUAAAACACCUUCAUUUAUGAAGAAAAAAAAGUAUAACUUUUAACAAUGGAUCUCUAGGCUCUCACAUCGAUGAAGAACGCAGC